rnacentral:rRNA from 1 species
CGACCGGCGCACGGGUGCGUAACGCGUAUGCAACCUACCUUUAACAGGGGGAGUAACACUGAGAAAUUGGUACUAAUACCCCAUAAUAUCAUAGAAGGCAUCUUUUAUGGUUGAAAAUUCCGAUGGUUAGAGAUGGGCAUGCGUUGUAUUAGCUAGUUGGUGGGGUAACGGCUCACCAAGGCGACGAUACAUAGGGGGACUGAGAAGUUAACCCCCCACACUGGUACUGAGACACGGACCAG